rnacentral:lncRNA from 1 species
AUUGUCACUCCGACCGUUCCCGAGCGUACCAGGCGAACGCUGGCACGGGCGAAGGUAUUACGAGCGCCAUUUCGUGUGGAGGCCUUUACUGCAAAUAUUGCGCAACAGAAAACCCCAGAGAAAAUUGCGAGUUUAAAUAUGGUGGAUAAAUAACAGCUGUGUUGCCGGUGUAAAACUGUCAAGAUAAAAAAUCUGAGGAAGUAUAGUAAUACCGCUCGAGGCCCAUGGCCUUUGACAACACAAUUCCUUCGUCCGUUUAUUUCAGAAGAACACCAUCGUUGCUGAGACUCAUGUGUAGUAUUGUAGUAUAAAUUUCUAAACCAAUUAACCGUAUAGUCCUGGUACCGACUUGUACCGCUUUAGUAUAUGUAGGAGAAAACAAGAGGUGAAAGGGUCCGCACGGCUUUGUAGGUCAAUGACAAAAUGGUUCUUGUUGCUGUUAUAACACACGGGCUCAUCCCUCUACAACAACUCUGGUAUAUACCCUUAUAUUGCUAUUGAAUGAAAUUUUUAAAAGUUCGUCUUUCAAUUAAAUUUCAUGAUAAAUAUACGAUUGUAAUUAUAUUUCCUGAUGCACCGGUUUCUCCAGUUGUCACUUGUCAAACUCAAAAACGGCCGCAAAAAAAAGGGACCGGAAGGUUACUCAAAUAUCCGAAAUUCUUUUCCGAGAAAUCAGAUUAAAAUUUCAUUUGAUACAAAUCACAUCUAGUCCGUCAAGUAUUUUUAAAUGACUUCAAAUAAUUUUCACUGCGCGAAAUGUAAAUGUGGUCCGGAUAUGGUACGAACGAAUAAGUUAUUAAUUGCAUGGAACCAAUUACCAAUUAUAAUUAAGAAAAUUUGAAUUGGUCGUUUCUGAAUAAUUAUUUCGCGCUAGUUAUUUUGCCCUAAUUUCAGUUUGUUCAUCCUACAUGUACAACUUCCUUCAGAGCCUUUCAUUCGUCCUUCACAGAGCACGGGAAUACCUAGCCCAGUCUCGCUAGCUAGUAGCUAAUCAUUUGCAUGAGCUGACUUUCGAAAUUUCCUGUACGCACCGCUUGUCUCCGGUUACUUCCAUAUCCUCCAGCGAUGUGGUGAAACGGAGAGGAGAAAAAGUCUGCGGUAUAAAAGAACUUGCGUUCACACCAGUCGAAACAUCCGCUGUGUAAUAACCAUCUCCUCUUGAGCUAAACGAUUUUUUCUCCCAGUGCCAAAUUAUCCGUCGACAAAUACAAUGGCUGGUAAUUUUCUAUUUGUGUGGAAUAACAAGCCAGAGUACGGUAUGCCUUUUAAGUCUAUGGCAUCUUCUAAUGAAACUGAGAUUAAAAACAAAUUUACGUCGACUACGUCGGCUGGAUACGUGAAUUUACCUUGGAAUUUACGGGACGGAAGGCGGACCUCGGACUCGGUACAGGUUUCAAGGUAUUACGGAACUGCUGCGGAUGACAAGUCCGAUGUGUCUACCAAGCUACUGAAGGCUCUCUACUAAAGUUGAUGUUCCUCGGAUUUUCUCCACAAAUCCAAUUAAAUGAUACAAUAAUUUCACUUGUUAAAAAUAGCUAAAUAUUUUAAAAAACAAAAUUACAAAAGCAUUUGCCAGUAUUGACAAUAAACGGAUAUACUCAACAAA